rnacentral:rRNA from 1 species
CCUACGGGCGGCUGCAGUCGGGAAUUUUGGGCAAUGGGCGCAAGCCUGACCCAGCAACGCCGCGUGAAGGAUGAAGUCCCUCGGGAUGUAAACUUCGAAAGAAUGGGAAGAAUUAAUGACGGUACCAUUUAUAAGCCCCGGCUAACUCCGUGCCAGCAGCCGCGGUAAUACGGAGGGGGCAAGCGUUGUUCGGAUUUACUGGGCGUAAAGGGCGCGUAGGCGGCUUUGUAAGUUACUUGUGAAAUCUCUGAGCUUAACUCAGAACUGCCAAGUGA